GUGGGGAAUAUUGGACAAUGGGCGCAAGCCUGAUCCAGCCAUGCCGCGUGUGUGAAGAAGGUCUUCGGAUUGUAAAGCACUUUAAGUUGGGAGGAAGGGCAGUAAGUUAAUACCUUGCUGUUUUGACGUUACCGACAGAAUAAGCACCGGCUAACUUCGUGCCAGCAGCCGCGGUAAUACGAAGGGUGCAAGCGUUAAUCGGAAUUACUGGGCGUAAAGCGCGCGUAGGUGGUUCAGCAAGUUGAAGGUGAAAUCUCCGGGCUCAACCUGGGAACUGCCUCCAAAACUGCAUGACUAGAGUACGGUAGAGGGUAGUGGAAUUUCCUGUGUAGCGGUGAAAUGCGUAGAUAUAGGAAGGAACACCAGUGGCGAAGGCGACUACCUGGACUGAUACUGACACUGAGGUGCGAAAGCGUGGGGAGCAAACAGGAUUAGAAACCCUAGUAGUCC
rnacentral:rRNA from 1 species